CAGCCGCCGCGGUAAUACGAAGGGUGCAAGCGUUACUCGGAAUUACUGGGCGUAAAGCGUGCGUAGGUGGUGGUUUAAGUCCGUUGUGAAAGCCCUGGGCUCAACCUGGGAAUUGCAGUGGAUACUGGGUCACUAGAGUGUGGUAGAGGAUAGUGGAAUUUCCGGUGUAGCAGUGAAGUGCGUAGAGAUCGGAAGGAACAUCUGUGGCGAAGGCGACUAUCUGGGCCAACACUGACACUGAGGCACGAAAGCGUGGGGAGCAAACAGGAUUAGAUACCCCAGUAGUCCCUGUCUCUUAUAC
rnacentral:rRNA from 1 species